rnacentral:misc_RNA from 1 species
GAUGAAGAACGUAGCGAAAUGCGAUAAGUAAUGUGAAUUGCAGAAUUCAGUGAAUCAUCGAAUCUUUGAACGCACAUUGCGCCCGCCAGUAUUCUGGCGGGCAUGCCUGUUCGAGCGUCAUUUCAACCCUCAGGCCCCCAGUGCCUGGUGUUGGGGAUCGGCCCAGCCUUCCUGUAAGGCCGCCGGCCCCGAAAUCUAGUGGCGGUCUCGCUGUAGUCCUCCUCUGCGUAGUAGCACAACCUCGCAGUUGGAACGCGGCGGUGGCCAUGCCGUUAAACACCCCACUUCUGAAAGUUGACCUCGGAUCAGGUAGGGAUACCCGCUGAACUUAAGCAUAUCAAUAAGCGGAGGA